rnacentral:rRNA from 1 species
GAUGAACGCUGGCGGCGUGCCUAAUACAUGCAAGUCGAGCGAACAGAUGAGGAGCUUGCUCCUCUGACGUUAGCGGCGGACGGGUGAGUAACACGUGGAUAACCUACCUAUAAGACUGGGAUAACUUCGGGAAACCGGAGCUAAUACCGGAUAAUAUAUUGAACCGCAUGGUUCAAUAGUAAAAGACGGUUUUGCUGUCACUUAUAGAUGGAUCCGCGCCGCAUUAGCUAGUUGGUAAGGUAACGGCUUACCAAGGCAACGAUGCGUAGCCGACCUGAGAGGGGGAGCAGAGAAACGGGAACUGAGAAGCGGAACAGACUCGUGCGGGAGGCAGAGGUGGGGAAGAUGGGGCGAUGGGCGAAAGACGGAUAGAGCCAUGCCGCGGGUGUGAAGAAGGUCUUAGGAUUGUAAAGCACUGUAAGUUGGGAGGAAGGGCAGUGAGUGAAGAACUGGAGGGGGUGACGGUAAGAAAAGAAGAAGAAACGGCUAACUUAGUG